rnacentral:rRNA from 1 species
AUUGAACGCUGGCGGUAUGCCUAACACAUGCAAGUCGAACGAGGUAGCAAUACCUAGUGGCGGACGGGUGAGGAAUACGUAGGGAUCUGCCCUUAAGUGGGGGAUAACCCGGGGAAACCCGGAUUAAUACCGCAUGAUCUCGCAAGAGCAAAGAGGGGGACCGCAAGGCCUCUCGCUUUUGGAGGAACCUACGUCGGAUUAGCUAGUUGGUGAGGUAAUGGCUCACCAAGGCGACGAUCCGUAACUGGUCUGAGAGGAUGAUCAGUCACACCGGAACUGAGACACGGUCCGGACUCCUACGGGAGGCAGCAGUGGGGAGUAUUGGACAAUGGGGGCAACCCUGAUCCAGCAAUGCCGCGUGGGUGAUGAAGGCCUUCGGUUGUAAAGCCCUUUCGGCGGGACGAUGAUGACGGUACCCGCAGAAGAAGCCCCGGCUAACUUCGUGCCAGCAGCCGCGUAAU